rnacentral:rRNA from 1 species
AUUGAACGCUGGCGGCAUGCCUUACACAUGCAAGUCGAACGGUAGCGGGCCUUCGGGUGCCGACGAGUGGCGAACGGGUGAGUAAUGUAUCGGAACGUACCUUUCAGUGGGGAUAACGUAGCGAAAGUUGCGCUAAUACCGCAUAUUCUGUGAGCAGGAAAGCAGGGGAUCGCAAGACCUUGCGCUGAUUGAGCGGCCGAUAUCAGAUUAGCUAGUUGGUGAGGUAAAGGCUCACCAAGGCGACGAUCUGUAGCGGGUCUGAGAGGAUGAUCCGCCACACUGGAACUGAGACACGGUCCAGACUCCUACGGGAGGCAGCGGUGGGGAAUUUUGGACAAUGGGGGCAACCCUGAUCCAGCCAUGCCGCGUGAGUGAAGAAGGCCUUCGGGUUGUAAAGCUCUUUCGGCCGGGAAGAAAUCGUAUCAGCUAACACGUCGGGAGGUUGACUUAACCUACAGAAGAAGCACCGGCUAACUCUGUGCCAGCCGCCGCAGUAAUAC